AAAAAGUGAAGAUGGGGAAAAUUAAUGGAUGCCUAAAGUGCAUUUUUAUUUUCUACAAUGUGCUGUUUGUGGUGAUAGGAAGUGGAAUGAUUUUCCUGGUAGCACAGCUCACUUUACUCUUCAGUUCCUUUGGCAUCCAGCUCUCAUCAUUUGGUAUGCCAAGCAUUGGCUGGUUUUGGCUGUUUGCGUUUGGUGUCCUCGGUGUCUCCUUCCUGGGAAUCUUUGCUGCCUGCUGUGAGAAAGACAUUGCCAUCAAAAUAUUUGCAGGCCUCGUGGGGACUGGAAUGAUCAUCAUGAUAAUCUGUGGCAUCCAGUGGCGGUCCUAGCCUGUUUGGCGCCCUGGGCGAACACUCCCUCUGACGCCCCCCCCUCCACCACACACACACACACACACACACACACAAAACAUAUUAAGGAUCGUACAUUAACAUAAAACUGUUGUCCACACACACAUAUGAAGACAGAGAGAGUAUGCAUAGUAUGCAAACGGCUACCAAACAGACAUCAUAAUUCUUCAUACAAUGAGAACAGGACAAAUCAACAACUGACAAUGACUAAUUAAUAUUAAAAUCUGUAACAUAAUGUAUUGUUUGGAGUUUAAUCUGUUAGUGUUACUAUUUUUACCAUUUCUUCUUGGAGCAGCU
ensembl:lncRNA